rnacentral:rRNA from 1 species
GACGAACGCUGGCGGCGUGCUUAACACAUGCAAGUCGAACGGAAAGGCCCUGCUUUUGUGGGGUGCUCGAGUGGCGAACGGGUGAGUAACACGUGAGUAACCUGCCCUUGACUUUGGGAUAACUUCAGGAAACUGGGGCUAAUACCGGAUAGGAGCUCCUGCUGCAUGGUGGGGGUUGGAAAGUUUCGGCGGUUGGGGAUGGACUCGCGGCUUAUCAGCUUGUUGGUGGGGUAGUGGCUUACCAAGGCUUUGACGGGUAGCCGGCCUGAGAGGGUGACCGGCCACAUUGGGACUGAGAUACGGCCCAGACUCCUACGGGAGGCAGAAGUGGGGAAUAUUGCACAAUGGGCGGAAGCCUGAUGCAGCAACGCCGCGUGCGGGAUGACGGCCUUCGGGUUGUAAACCGCUUUCGACUGUGACGAAGAGUGAGUGACGGUAAUGGGUAAAGAAGCGACGGCUAACUACGUG